rnacentral:rRNA from 1 species
UACGAAGGGGGCUAGCGUUGUUCGGAAUUACUGGGCGUAAAGGGCGCGCAGGCGGCUCUUCAAGUCAGAUGUGAAAGCCCCGGGCUCAACCUGGGAACUGCAUUUGAGACUGGAGAGCUUGAGUUCGGGAGAGGAGAGCGGAAUUCCCAGUGUAGAGGUGAAAUUCGUAGAUAUUGGGAAGAACACCGGUGGCGAAGGCGGCUCACUGGGCUCAUUACUGACGCUCAGGCGCGAUAGCGUGGGGAUCAAACAGG